rnacentral:rRNA from 1 species
UACGUAGGGGGCUAGCGUUGUUCGGAAUUACUGGGCGUAAAGCGCUCGUAGGCGGCUUUGUACGUCAGCGGUGAAAGCCCGGAGCUCAACUCCGGAAUUGCCUUUAAGACUGCAUCGCUAGAGUUGUGGAGAGGUAAGUGGAAUUCCGAGUGUAGAGGUGAAAUUCGUAGAUAUUCGGAAGAACACCAGUGGCGAAGGCGACACACUGGGCCAUUACUGACACUGAGGCGCGAAAGCGUGGGGAGCAAACAGG